GAAAUGCGAUAAGUAAUGCGAAUUGCAGAAUUCCAGUGAGUCAUCGAAUCUUUGAACGCACAUUGCGCCCUUUGGCAUUCCGAAGGGCAUGCCUGUUCGAGCGUCAUUAUCACCUCUCAAGCCCCCUGGGUUUGGCCUUGGACGGCUGGUCGGGCGACGCCCCGACCCCUCCUAAAGACAACGACGGCGGCUUUGUCUGACCCCCGGUACACUGAGCUUCUUAACCGAGCACGUACCGGAACGAGGGUCGGCGGGCCACGGUCUUCUCCCCUUACAGGGAAAUUUUCUCAGGUUGACCUCGGAUCAGGUAGGGAUACCCGCUGAACUUAA
rnacentral:rRNA from 1 species